GAUGAACGCUGGCGGCGUGCCUAAUACAUGCAAGUCGAACGAAACUUCUUUAUCACCGAGUGCUUGCACUCACCGAUAUAGAUUUGAGUUGCGAACGGUUGAGUAACACUUGGGCAACCUUCCCAAAAGAGGGGGUUAACACUUGGAAACAUGUUCUAAUACCGCAUAACCAUAGUUACCUCAUGCUAACUAUGUAAAAGGUGGCUAUACUACCGCUUUUGGAUGGGCCCGCGGCGCAUUAGCUAGUUGGUAGUGUAAAGGCUUACCAAGGCAAUGAUGAGUAGCCGAAGUGAGAGGUGGAACGGCCACAUUGGGACUGAGACACGGCACAAAGUCCGACGGGAGGCAGAAGUAGGGAAGCGACCAAAAAGGGCGAAAGACUGAUGGAGCAACGGAGGGUGGGUGAAGAAGGUCUGCGGAUCGUAAAACCCUGUUGGGAGAGAAGAAAGUGCGUGAGAGUAACUGUGCACGUGGCGACGGUAUCUAACCAGAAAGCCACGGCUAACUACGUG
rnacentral:rRNA from 1 species